UUCCCAUCACCCAUCAGGGGCACAGGGGAGGCUCAGCCCUGAUUCUCUGCCCACCCUGAGCACCAGGGGCUGCAGCAGGAUCCAGCACUUGAUCCCUUGGCAGCAGCAGUGCAGCAGCAGAGCAGCCCCCUCCGGCUUCUGCCGGCCCCUGGUGCACUCGGUGCGCAGGGAGAGGCACCGCGACUGGAGGAAGGCGGGACGCAUCAUCCGGAAAGCCUGAGCCUCAUCUGCUGGGAGCCUGGGGACAGCUGGGCCAGAGGCAGCCACCCCUCGGGGUCUGCACCCGCACACAGAGAGCAUCCCGCAGGGAUCCGCGUCCUGCAGCUUCCCCCGGCUGAGAGGGAGCGAGCCCCUUCCCCCGGGAAUCCAUCCCUGCCUGGAGGAGCCGCCUGGAGCGGUGGGACAGCCCAGCCGGGACCGGGCUGUGCCACCCGACACCGUGGAGUGGCUUUUCUGUCUUCUUCCCCAAGGGCUGAGUGGGUGGAGAGCAGAUUUCCCCGGGGAAAAAUGGAAUUUGCUCCUGCAGGGCAGCCCUGGGAAGAGUCCCAGUGGUUUCAGGCUCCUCUCCUCCUGCUCCAGCAUUUCCCAAAGUGACUGGAAAACCUUCAGGGUCCAGUUUGUCACCAUUCCCAGGAGGAGGUGCCUCCCCCAGAAGUCACAGAGCACUUUGGGAAUGCUGGCUCCCUGUUAAGUCUCAUGCACUAAGAGCCUGCCAGUUUUUUUCCUGCUUUUCCUCACCUUUGUUAAAUGAGUUGCUCCAGGCUAGAGGAGGGAAAAUGCCCUGAACCAGUGACUCAGAUUUAUGUCACCAAAUGCAAUUUACUGCAAUGGCCUUGUAAUUAGCAUUUUUGGAGCCUUCCCAGCAGCUGAAGCAAAGAAAUGUAAGAGCCACCUUCUAAUGAGCAGACAGGUGGGGAAGGAAUACAAUCGUGCUCCUUUAGGCUCUGCUGUUUAGGCAUAAAAUCAGAUUUCAGAGGCAAAAGUCAGUUGUGCAUCCUGCAGCCCACGGAGCUGUUGUGAGCAGGAUGGGAAUGGUGGAGCAAGGGAGGGAUUCUGACACUGGGCUCUAACAGCAGCUGCCCUUGGCAAAACUGCUCCUUAUUUGCUGAACAUAAUGUUUGGCUCAAACACAGCCUGUUUUCCUCGUUGCCAGCCAUUUGUGAGCCUGACUCAGGCUCACAGAUGCAUUAUCCAGACACAGAUAGGAAGGGGAGUGGGAAUAGAUUAUGCAUUCAUUAUCCAGAAGUAGCCACCAGAUACAUUUGCACAUUUGUCUGCUGCUCGGUUGUUUGCAAAUCGCUCCUGAUGGUUGAUGCUGUGUUUGUUCAGUCACCCAGGGCUGGAAGUUCCCAAUCCUCUCUCCCAGGCAGGCUGGAUCAGUAACUUGCAUGUAAAUCUCUGCUUUCACCUGGAGGAGAUGAAGUUUCUACCUUGAAGUUCAUGCCUUGUGUGGAGGUGGUUGUGAAAAAGGAGGCAGAAGUAGCUGUUAACAGUUUCUGCACAUUUCAAAGCAUAAACUCUGUGAAACUGGGCCUCAGCUCUGGGACACUGUGGCUGCUCCCCUGUCCUGGUCCACGCAGCUACAAUGACAACAGCAGAUGGAGAUGUCAGGAGGGAAAACAUUCAGGAAGUGUUUCUGUGUGCUGGGGGAAUUUCUUCCCUGGAGUUGAGUGUGUUUGGGAGCUGUGGCUGUGGAAAAAGGGUUUGAAUUAAUUCCUGCAGUGGGGCAGGGUAGGGAUGGCCCCAGGGACCAUGCUGGGCUCCCAGCCUGAGCAGGGACAGAGGGAUGCACCUUUCAGGAAGGGUGAAGGGCCAGGACUGCCUUGCCCUGAUGAUCACAUGCUGGAUUUAUCCCUGUAAAUAUAAUAUUGUUUACUCCAAUAAACUCUUUUACAUACACAGAAUUCAGAGUGCCUGUUCUCAUU
rnacentral:lncRNA from 12 species